UAGCGGCGGACGGGUGAGUAACACGUGGAUAACCUACCUAUAAGACUGGGAUAACUUCGGGAAACCGGAGCUAAUACCGGAUAAUAUAUUGAACCGCAUGGUUCAAUAGUGAAAGACGGUUUUGCUGUCACUUAUAGAUGGAUCCGCGCCGCNNNNNCUAGUUGGUAAGGUAACGGCUUACCAAGGCAACGAUGCGUAGCCGACCUGAGAGGGUGAUCGGCCACACUGGAACUGAGACACGGUCCAGACUCCUACGGGAGGCAGCAGUAGGGAAUCUUCCGCAAUGGGCGAAAGCUUGACGGAGCAACGCCGCGUGAGUGAUGAAGGUCUUCGGAUCGUAAAACUCUGUUAUUAGGGAAGAACAAAUGUGUAAGUAACUAUGCACGUCUUGACGGUACCUAAUCAGAAAGCCACGGCUAACUACGUGCCAGCAGCCGCGGUAAUACGUAGGUGGCAAGCGUUAUCCGGAAUUAUUGGGCGUAAAGCGCGCGUAGGCGGUUUUUUAAGUCUGAUGUGAAAGCCCACGGCUCAACCGUGGAGGGUCAUUGGAAACUGGAAAACUUGAGUGCAGAAGAGGAAAGUGGAAUUCCAUGUGUAGCGGUGAAAUGCGCAGAGAUAUGGAGGAACACCAGUGGCGAAGGCGACUUUCUGGUCUGUAACUGACGCUGAUGUGCGAAAGCGUGGGGAUCAAACAGGAUUAGAUACCCUGGUAGUCCACGCCGUANACGAUGAGUGCUAAGUGUUAGGGGGUUUCCGCCCCUUAGUGCUGCAGCUAACGCAUUAAGCACUCCGCCUGGGGAGUACGACCGCAAGG
rnacentral:rRNA from 1 species